rnacentral:rRNA from 1 species
UACGGAGGGUGCAAGCGUUGUUCGGAAUCACUGGGCGUAAAGAGCGUGUAGGCGGCCAUACAGGUCAGCUGUGAAAACUCGAGGCUCAACCUCGAGACGUCGGUUGAAACCGUAUGGCUAGAGUCCGGAAGAGGAGAGUGGAAUUCCCGGUGUAGCGGUGAAAUGCGCAGAUAUCGGGAAGAACACCCGUGGCGAAGGCGGCUCUCUGGGACGGUACUGACGCUGAGACGCGAAAGCGUGGGGAGCGAACAGG